GUAUGGAUCUAGGGCUAGUAAGUCAGUGUUUUAUAAGUUACAAUAAACCAUUAGAUUUUAUGGGCGCAAUCAUUUUAUGAACAUGGUAUUCAAAAUUAAGAGUAAAAACUAUGGCUAAUCCUGAUUGGCUGAUUUGUGCGCCCAUUAUUUCUUAUUAUUAGAGACUUCGUGCCCUCUGCGUUAUAUCAAAGGGAAAUUAAAUUAUUUUCCUUAGC
rnacentral:lncRNA from 1 species